UUUAAAUCCGGAAGGCAGCUAAGCCCCUCACAUCUGCUUUCUUACUCCCCUCACUGUGGGAUCACAAAGCUGUACACAAUAAAUGCAAACUGGAAGAAGGAAGAAUAAGGGAAAAAGAAAUUUUAUUUCCAAACCAUUUGUGACUCCAGCCUUCCUUAAAUUCUACAGUGUUUCCUCAUUUCUAGACUGGAGAUAGAGAAAAUAAGAUGAUGAGAUCCAAAAUAUGUGAAUAGCUAUUGUUUUUAUCUCAGUGAGUCUUAUGACCUUGUGUGAAAUAAUAAUAAUAAUAAUAAUAUAAAGCAAACAAAGAAAUUAAAAGAGCAGCAGCAGCUACAAAAAGAAAAUACAAAACAAAACAAUAAAGUUUCUAUAAUGAUGGGCCAAAUAAGUAUAAAGGAAUAUAGAAUAUAUAGGAUAUCACUGGCCUUCUGGGACACAAGGGCACACAACUGUCUCAUGGUCAACCUCUUAUCCACCAAGACACCUAGGUCCUCCUCUGCAGAGCUCCUUUCCAGCAGAUCAGCUCCUAACCUGUAUUGGUGCAUAUGGUGAAUCCUCCCCAGAUGUAGAACCCUACAUAUGCCCUUAUUGAACUUCAUGAACUUCCUUUCCACCCAGCUCUGCAGUCCAUCCAGGUCUUAUUGAAUGACAGCACAGCUUUCUGGUGUACCAUCAGCAAACUUACUGAGGGUGCACUCUGUCUCUUCAUCAAGGUUAUUGAUGAGUAUGUUGAAUAUGACCAGUCCCAAUAUCAAAUCCCUGGGGAACUCCACUGGCUACAGUCCUCCAACUAGACUGCGUGCCACUGAUCAAAACCCUCUUAGCUCUCCUGUUCAGUCAGUUCUCAGUCCACCCCACUGUCUACUCAUCUAUCCCACACUUCCUAAGCUUACUAAUAAUAAAUCCUGCUACAUAUAUUUAUACUUCUUUUUUUUUCAAAGAAGAAUAAUUGUGGGGCUAAAAAUAGGGAUUUAUUGCUGCAUUUGUUGCCAGUUUUUUGUUUUGUUUUGUUUUGUUUUUGUAUCAGCUGUGCUCCCUCAAUUUAGUGUCAUCUCUAAAUUUGAUCUCAGCAAGCGUCAUACUAUCUGAAGAGUCCAAGCUUAUUUCUUUUACUAUCCCAGCAAGCCUUGUAACCUUGCACAUCUUCAUACUACGUUGUUCCAUUUAAUAUAACCUUCACAUCAAGGCAGGGAAAAAAAAAAAAAAACAAAGAAAAAAAAAAAAACAAUCAAAUAAAUAUAAAAGUCUUCUGCCCUUAGAGAGGGCUUAUGAGAUCAAAUCAGCUCGGGAAAGACUUGGACCAUUAUGUAUUUGGAUUCAGGUGAAGAAUUUUGGUGAUUACCUGUAGCAACUUGAUAAGACUAUGGUGCUCUUGAAGGGCUAAGGUGUAUUUUGAAGAAAUGUCACACUAUAAGAAUUACUUCAACUGGUCUGCUUUAAAAGCCAUUAUGCAAAAUGUCAGUGUCACCUAAAUAGCUGUCUCAGUCUCAGCACAAUUUCCUUCCAAGUAUUAUGAUCUUUUAUUGAGGCUAGAAGUCUCUCUGAGUUCAUAGUUUAAGAAUCAACCUACAAUUACAGCUGAAUAUUAGGAGCUAACAAAAAUGCUAUAUAAGUGGAGUAGGUUAGCAUGUGUUUGCAUCUCAGACUGAAGUACAUAUUGCAUACUUUUUUUGUCACUGACUUGUUUUUGAUUAAAUGGUGGUAUCUGUAUAUUUUCAGUAGUCUUUUGGGUCCUAAGUUCACCAGUGCAAAUCCCACUACAGUAAAAUGGGUGGGGAUUAAGUAACAAAAAGGCAUUAGAAUACAGAGUUCAUCCUCAAAAAGAGUACAGUAGUGGUGAUUGGAGUUUCAUCGUUUGUAGUUUUGCAUCUGAUUUAUUGUUUCUGCAUAUUUUCUGACAUAUUCUGAUUACUUGCACUUUGUUCAUUGAUAGCCACCAAACUAUCUUUGCACAUGAGCUACUAGUUAAAAUUAUGCAGUAGUCUCUUCACAUCCCAGAAGACUAAUACUUGCUACUCAGCUACUACAUAUUUCAGACCUGUGUUAUACGUAAUAUUCACAGAUAAGCUCCGACAUACAUGAGGCAGCAGUCAUGCUGGUGUAGCUAAAGAAAACUAAAAUCAGCUCAGGUCAAAGCAAGAUAAGUCUUCAGACAGUACACUGCCAGGUCAAUAUGUAGCUUGUGGCUUUUUACUAGUAAUGGAAAAAUCAUGCUUUUUUUUCAAAUUAAAUUUAUUUAAAUAUCUGCAUGUUGAAAUACAUCAGUCAGAAGUCUAGAUUUUUUGUUCUCAUUGAAAUCAGCUGUUGGAAUUUGUAUCAUAUUAUUCUAG
ensembl:lncRNA